AUUUAUGUAAAGAUAAAAUAAAAAAGAUUCAACAGAAUCGGUAUUUUCAAAUCCCGAAAGUUCAACGGAAUCGUUCAGAAAAAAAGGAAGGAUUGAUAGAAUUUUGCAGAAAAGGAGAACGAAUCGCAAGAGAAAGCGUGCGAACAACCCUUCGAAACAAUUCGACCCGUCCCCUACGGCUGCCUCGAGAAAGUUGACGUUGACCAUAAAAAUUUCACCGUUUUUAAAAAAAGACAGGGUUGAAAAGAAAGCCCCCCCCCUUUCAUCUCUGACUUUCCUUUUUUUUUUUCCUCUUUCGUUGCAAGAUCUUCUUUCCAAGGGAAUAUUUCUCGCUCGAUGAACGAGAGAAGCCUUUCCCUUCCGUCAACUAUCUUGAUCGUGAAAGAAAGUUUCUCUCCUUUAAUCUCCCCGGCCAGUUCGCGUUUUCUAAACGACGCGAAGCGACGUACCUCGUUUUCAACCUCUCGCUCCGUGAUUCUCUAUCUCUAUCUCUCUCACUCUCUCUCCGGGACACUUGUCAUGCAAUUGCGCAUUACGUCGGUCGAAAUAAAAGUACUCAGUCAGAGAUGGUAAUCGCACGAGAUGUACGCGAAAGCGCGACACGCGAGUGAUUACGUGUGCCAGUGCCGUUUUCGAGGAUGAAGCUGUGCGUAAUUUGAAUUAUUAGCGAGCCGUCGCGCAGGAAUUUUUUUCAAACGGUUUCAACAAAGAUAAGAAGCUUGAAAUUUUUUCCCCCGCUUGUUAAAGGAAUUGAUAUUCUUCUUGAGAUUUAAGGAUAAAAGUGACUCGCGCGUUACAUUUUUUUUAUAAAUACAAAUAUUUUCUAUUUAAAACAGAUUAAGAAAAAUUAUUCAAAGAUUCUGAAUAAUUUCUUUUUUCGAUUCUCGUAUUUUAUUAUUUAUAUUUUCGUAUUCGAUUUUUCUCGAGCAACUCGCUCGAUCCAACGGCGUGCAUUUCCAGCUUGAUCCUCCCCUCCCCCAAGCUUUCCAGCCACCGCACCGCCUCUCAGUCCCCGAGCGAAUACCACACCAUUGUCCGCGCCAUGCUCGAAACAGGGCCUGACCCGUAAAUCACGAUUCGCUGAAGUGCGUGCUCGAGUUGUCGGGCUUGCAGGGUGUCUCUUCUCGAGCGUCUGAAAAAAUUCUUCUCGAACAUUGACCAGACACCACGGGGAAAUCUCUCGAUGACACAUCGUUUGACAUUUUACAGAAACGAAACUUUUCAAUCGUUUUUUAAUUUAAUUCUCAACCGGUGAUUGGUGAUUCGAGGAGAGUUAAAAUUUUAUAAAUUUUAUAAAUAUGAAUACAAUUUUUUUAAAUUUCUUUAAAAAUUUUUAAUCGUAGAAUUUACUUGCCUGAUAUAUAAGAUUCUAUAACUAUUCUGAAAUUAAUUUAGAUAAUUAUCAAAUUCUCCUCGACCAAAGAUAUUUCAAUCUCAUUUUCGAAUCACGAGAAAUCGUAAAUUAAUAACGUGUAUUUAUCCGUGAUCGUAACUUUUGUGUUAUUCGUGCGUGAACGUAGCCGAAUGUGGAGAGAAAAAUGGCCGGUUAAUUAACCGCGGCAACCGCGUUGCGAAAUCGAAGAACGCGAAACGAGAAAGGGUCUACGUUUUGUCGAUAUUUCUCUGCGGGAGAAACGCAUCCGUCCGACCGAUGGCGUAACGAUCGAUCGGUCGAGCGCAGCCAUCGACCGCUAUCCUUUCGCGAAACGUAAAUAUUUAACAGUGGUGAUCGAUUGGAAAAGUGAUCGCGAGGACGAAACUAGUUGUUGUAAACGUAAUUAAUUUGCAAGCUUAAUCGAUAUUCUAAAACAUAUUUAACAGUUUUUUUCUCGAAUUCGACGACGUCAAAUUAGAAUAGUUUCUAACCUAAAAAUAAUCAUUCGUGAAACAUGUGUGUGUGUUUGUGUCUGUGCUAAAGUGAAAUUGAUAUUCGAUCGACGUUUUCGACGCUAAUUUUUAAUUGAUACAACAAAAUUAACGGGAAAUUUAAAAGUUUUUCGAAAAAGUUUUUAUUAGAUAGUUGUUAACGUUCAAAUGAGCCGUUGAGACGUGAAUAACGUAUCUUCAUUUCGCUUUUAUUUCGAUAUCAAUGUUUGCGCAGUAAAUUUAAUUCAAUUUUAUCAAAAUAACAUUUUUUCUCGAAAGAAUCUUGAAACAUUCCUCGAAAAAUCUCAUAAUACGAAUAAAUAUUACACGUAUUAAUGUGAUUUACGAGGAGUUUAAUAGAUUUCAAUUUGCUUUUUUUUUUCUUGUUUAUAUUUUUUCCUUAUCUUUUUUAUUAAUUCUUCGCUUAAUUCUGCAUUUAUUUUCAUAAACUAUCCCCGUAUUCUAAAUUUAUUACUCGUACUCUCAAUAACUAAUUGUUGUUGACAAUAACAAUACUCGAUAUUAAAAACGCGCAAAUGAAAAUAAUCUUAAACUUUUUUCGAACGAUCAAUUAAUUACAUUUGAUACGAAAUGUGUUGUUACAAUGUAUUUCGAGUGAAAAUUAUCAUCGUGACAAUUAUGUGUAUAAAAUUAAAUAUAAAAAACGAUACGUUUAACGCAAUUUAACGCAGUUUUAACGCGGUUCUAGCUCUCUAUGUAUCUACAUUUUUACUAUAUUUUUAAUUACGAGAUAAACAUCACAAUCGUUUCGCAUCUGCAUGCAUCAGCCCGAGAACUCCUUUCUUCGUUCUCACGAUUGCAUCGUCGUUAUGCCUUUUCAUUUCUUAUCUUUUUCUUCUCUUCUCGUUUUAUUUUUUUAUUUUUUUAUUCGAUUUAAAAACAAAUGAUAAUCGCGCAAAGACACGCGCGAUAUCUUAACGCGGCCGCAAAUAAUACGUAAUACGGUUUAUGCCCAUAAUCAACGUUUCAUAAUGGCACUUAAGCAUCCACUUGUUGAUACCAUUUAUGACCAUUGUGUAUGGUGGUACAUGUGUAAAACAGUCGCACGUCUACCACGCCACCGGCACGCACCCGCGUCAAAACUCUAACGUUAAUAUGACGUACACACGCACGCGGUUUGCGAAUGCUAUCUGAUCAAAAAAAUGAUCGUCUAACGUAUUUGUGAAAAAUGUGUGAUGUCGAGUGAAAAUGUGUGUGUGUGUGGUGUUAGUGAACUGAUGACUAAAUAUUUCAAAUGCGGGAUUAAAUGUACGCGCGUAGCGGAAUCUCGGUCGGUAAUUCUGACAUAAGGGCAAUCCUCAAGGAAUCGGUAACUAAGCCGCUCUUACGGUCGCAGCACAAACUAGAUUGGCAAUUCUGAAAUGAAAAAACUUUUUUU